rnacentral:rRNA from 1 species
UACAGAGGUCUCAAGCGUUGUUCGGAUUCAUUGGGCGUAAAGGGCGUGUAGGUGGCGCCGUAAGUCGGGUGUGAAAUUUCGGAGCUUAACUCCGAAACUGCAUUCGAUACUGCGGUGCUUGAGGACUGGAGAGGAGACUGGAAUUCAUGGUGUAGCAGUGAAAUGCGUAGAGAUCAUGAGGAAGACCAGUGGCGAAGGCGGGUCUCUGGACAGUUCCUGACACUGAGACGCGAAAGCGUGGGGAGCGAACAGG